AUGUCAUCAUCACACGGACACCACGCUUACCACUUAGUUGAUAUAAGACCCUGACCUUUAACAGGAUCAGUAAGAGCCAUAAUACUAACCACAGGGCUUGUUAAAUGAUUCCACCAAUUUAAUAUAGACUUGCUCCUGCUAAGAUUUUUAGCUACUAUUUUAACAAUAAUUCAAUGAUGACGAGAUGUAACACGUGAAGGAACCUACCAGGGGCUCCACACCCAAGUUGUAAUAAAAGGGCUUCGUUGGGGAAUAAUUCUUUUUAUUGUAUCAGAAGUAUUGUUCUUUUUUUCAUUUUUUUGGGCAUUUUUCCAUAGAAGACUUUCUCCAACAAUUGAAAUUGGAAUAUGUUGGCCACCAGUUGGUAUCCAACCUUUUAAUCCUUUCCAAAUUCCGCUUUUAAAUACAACUAUUCUUUUGUCAUCAGGAGCUACCGUAACAUGAGCCCAUCAUGCUAUUACAAGAUCAAAUCACUCAGAAGCAAUUCAAAGUCUUGCUUUAACUAUUUUUUUAGGAUUAUAUUUUUCAGCUCUUCAAGCUUUCGAAUAUGCAGAAGCUUCUUUUACAAUUGCAGAUUCUGUUUAUGGAUCUACUUUUUUUGUAGCAACUGGUUUCCAUGGGCUUCAUGUUAUUAUUGGGACUUCCUUUUUAGCUGUUUGUUUCUACCGACUUUAUAAAUGUCAUUUUUCUUCAGACCAUCAUUUUGGUUUUGAAGCAGCUGCUUGAUACUGACACUUUGUAGAUGUUGUUUGGUUAUUUUUAUAUAUCUUUAUCUAUUGAUGAGGAGGUUAA
rnacentral:misc_RNA from 1 species